rnacentral:rRNA from 1 species
CACGUAUCCAACCUGCCGAUGACUCGGGGAUAGCCUUUCGAAAGAAAGAUUAAUACCCGAUGGCAUAGUUCUUCCGCAUGGUGGAACUAUUAAAGAAUUUCGGUCAUCGAUGGGGAUGCGUUCCAUUAGGUUGUUGGCGGGGUAACGGCCCACCAAGCCUUCGAUGGAUAGGGGUUCUGAGAGGAAGGUCCCCCCACAUUGGAACUGAGACACGGUCCAAACUCCUACGGGAGGCAGCAUG